rnacentral:rRNA from 1 species
AGUGAACGCUGGCGGUAGGCCUAACACAUGCCAGUCGAACGGCAGCACAGUAAUAGCUUGCUCUUACGGGUGGCGAGUGGCGGACGGGUGAGGAAUACAUCGGAAUCUACUUUUUCGUGUGGGUUAACGUAGGGAAACUUACGCUAAUACCGCAUACGACCUACGAGGGAAAGCAUGGGAUCUUCUGAGCUUGCGCGAUUGAAUGAGCCGAUGUUGGAUUAGCUAGUGGGCGGGGUGAAGACCCACCAAGGCGACGAUCCGUAGCUUGUCUGAGAGAAUGGUCACCCACACUGGAACUGGGACAGGGUCCAGACUCCUGCGGGAGGCAGCAGUGGGGAAUAUUGGACAGUGGGCGCAGACCUGAUCCAGCCAUACCGCGUGGGUGAAGGAGGCCUUCGGGUUGUAAAGCCCUUUUGUUGGGAAAGAAACGCAGCAGGUUAAUACCCCGCUGUUCUGACGGUACCCAAAGAAUAAGCACCGGCUAACUUCGUG